rnacentral:lncRNA from 1 species
CUCUUCAGAGACCUUCUCUUUAAGCUCAACUAACUUUCUACUACCACCAUCCUGGAUAAACUAUUUUUUUAGAAAUAUGAUGUUUCGACUUACAAUCACAUUAUGAUCUUAUGAAAAGUAGUAGUAUUCCAUUGAUUCUUUUGGAUAUCCUAUAAAAUGAACUAUUAUAGAUCUAUCCUCUAAUUUAUCAACCAUCUAUCUCUUGACAU